AAUUGUCAGUAAUUCAUAUUAAACAUGCCAAAUGAACAUCAGGGUCUUCCAUGAAAUCACUUAAAUAAACAAGCAGAUUUAGAAAAUAUUAGGUCGAUAAAAUAUACAGAGAGAGCUGCUUAACAGUACUGGCUGAAAAGAUAUACUUAAUAUUAGAUCUGAUCUGUGAUAAACCCGUUAAAUUAGUUCAAAAAUCAAAACAGUGGCUUGAUUAGCAUGCGAGGCACAGGAAUAGUGCAAUUUCUUUGAACAGAUACGUGUUGUGGUGGCAGCCCAGCUGACGGUGAGUGUCCUGUUUCUUUCUCGUGAUUCUGUUUUCCCCUCGUGUUUUGGCCUGCCUGUUUGUGUCUCCUCCUCUCCCCCUGCGUGUGCUCUCCCUCUCUCUCUGCUCCUGAGCACAGCUGACAGUCCGCACCUGCACCUCAUCAGACCGGUUCUCCACACAAUCUCUGCUUGAUCGUCGUUGAUCCAAACCUGGCGCCACUUCUUCACUCAAGCUCUUGCGUAACCUGCAUCAUCUUUGUUUCCCUGUUCUUGGUAUUCCCCGUGUCUGUCUGUCGUUGUGUCAGCUAGGCUCGCCACCCUGCCCUCUCCUGUUGGACCUCCUCCACGGCGUCCUCGUGGCUCUUCCCCAUGCCUAGCCAGUCAGCCUGCCACCACAGUCCUCCACCAAACCCCCAACCCACCUAGUCAGUUCUCCCCGGCCUCCUCUCUUCGGUCCCCAGUGCCCCCCGGCUCCCUUGUCUCAGUGUCCUCGGUUCCCCGUGCCCGUGUUUCCCCGGCAUCUGCCUCUCCAUCACCUCCACUCCCUCAACCCCUCUUUUCCUUGAUAAAACCUGUUCAUCCUGAGUGUUGCGUUUGGGUCCACUCUGUCCACACCAUAACAGAUACGUACUUGAUUGAUAUUUAUUUAUGGGCAUGUGGUUCUUGUCUUUGUGUUUUGCUAGACCCAUGGCAACAUAACUAUGUAUCUGAUUUAGUUUAGGAAAUGGUGUACUUGGAACAAUUAGGUUGGAGCUGACAAUUGACGUUAAAGGAGGUCUUGGACACAAUUCUGCUCUGGGUAACACCACCAGCAUCAACGUUAAAGGAAAGAAUAUCAAAAAGGGAUGCAUCGGGGCAGAGAACAGCUAUAAAAUAGAAGGAGGACUGGGAGUUCAUACACGUGUUAGCAACACAACUAAUGUUAAAGUCAGUGAGAACUCAGGAACCAUUGGUUGAGGGAAUCAUGUUAACAUCAGCUGAGGAGGAGAAGGAGUCAAAAUCUGCAUGAGAAACAUACGUAACAUGACAGUUACACACCAGCGGACCACCAGCGGACAUUGGUGUAGGGAACAAUUGCAAUGUGAGCGGUUAUGCUAAAAGCAGCAUGAAAUAUAGUUUGUGGAAGACUUAGGUGCAUGCAUUUGGUUUAACUGCUCAGCUUCAGAUCUCAGACCAUAGUCUCUGAAGAUCAGGGCAAAACACCUUCACUUUUCCAGCAGUUGGGGAACAACAGACAGACUUGUCUUGAUCAUGAGGAAAUCAGCGCAGAAAGGAACAUCCACACUGUGAAGUGUCCUGCUGACCUGCUGUCUCUUGUCCGCUGGUCUCGAUUGCUGCUGCUGCUGUAGCUGGUGCAUAGUUUACUGAAAGAGACCAGCUUGAGGUCCAGCUCAUUCUCCAGCU